UGGGGAAUUUUGCGCAAUGGGCGAAAGCCUGACGCAGCAACGCCGCGUGAGUGAUGAAGGUUUUCGGAUCGUAAAGCUCUGUCAGAGGGGAAGAACAUCCCGGGGGAUAAUACCUCCUGGGCCUGACGGUACCCUCAAAGGAAGCACCGGCUAACUCCGUG
rnacentral:rRNA from 1 species